GUCCUCCUUAUAAAAAAAUAUGCAAUCAUUUCGGUAUGCAUCUAUCUUCUUAUAUCCAAUGCCUAACUCUUUCAUCAUUUUUUUUGAAGCAUAGAAGCUCUCAACAAGCUUCUCAUCCUUGGAUAGCAUUUUUUUUAUUAUUGCUACUAUCCUAUCAUAACAAUUGACCAUCAUAUUAAAUUCGACAUUCAAAUUUAACAACUCUGACAUAGCUGAUAAUAUAGUGUGUAU
rnacentral:lncRNA from 1 species